AACGAACGCUGGCGGCGUGGAUUAGGCAUGCAAGUCGCACGUGAAAGGGGGAGCUUGGCUCCCUGAGUAAAGUGGCGAACGGGUGAGUAACGCGUGAGAAACCUGCCUUGAAGAGGGGAAUAACACUCCCAACGGGGUGCUAAUACCGCAUGUGCUCGAUGGAUCGCAAUGGUUCGUCGAGGAAAGGUGGCCUCUGCUCGCAAGCUAUCGCUUCAAGAGGGUCUCGCGUCCGAUUAGCUAGUUGCGGGUAAAGCCCACCAAGGCUACGAUCGGUAGCUGGUCUGAGAGGAUGGUCAGCCACACUGGGACUGAGAGACGGCCCAGACUCCUACGGGAGCAGCAGUCGAGAGGCUUCGGGCAAGUGGGGCAACCCUGACCGAGCGACGCCGCGUGGAGG
rnacentral:rRNA from 1 species